UACGUAGGGACCGAGCGUUGUCCGGAAUCAUUGGGCGUAAAGAGCGUGUAGGCGGCCCCUUAAGUCCUGCGUGAAAUCCUGCGGCUCAACCGCAGACGGUCGUGGGAAACUGGAGGGCUAGAGUGCGGGAGAGGAGAGUGGAAUUCCCGGUGUAGCGGUGAAAUGCGCAGAUAUCGUGAGGAACACCAGAGGCGAAGGCGGCUACCUGGACAAUUACUGACGCUCAGGCACGAAAGCGUGGGGAGCAAAAGGG
rnacentral:rRNA from 1 species